rnacentral:lncRNA from 13 species
UACCACAUUUAGCUUGUGAGUGCCACUUUCUCAACCAGUGGCCGAACUUCGCACACAGCAUCUUUAAAAGUAGCUUUUGACUAAUUGGACUAGCUACCAUCUAAGACUGCUAGAUUGUGGACCAAGACAUUGUGCACCAAAGACAGGACUUCCUCAACCAGUGUCCCAGUGUUAAAGACAUGAAAGGCAGAUGGCCUGCUCUGUUUGAAACCUCUCAGGUGAGUCAGCAGCCAAAAUAUGCAGUACCAAAUGAAAUAUCUGUACCAUUAUUUGAGUAUUUGUCUUUCAGAUAAAUAAAGAAUUCCAGAGGAUCACCACAAAGCAUCUUGAGCCAAGGUUUAUGGCCAUGUUGGACCAGUACAUCCCUAAGCUGCUGUCCUUAUUCCAUUCCAAGGGAGGAGCACUUGGACAUAGAUUGCGGGUCGUGCUGGAUGUGUUACUCCAGAACCCAAACAGUACCCCCAUUUGAGAAGACAAGAGAAGUGGUUUUACAUUGCUUAAUUGACUACCUGGCUGAAGAUGGAGGUGACCCCAUAAAGCUGAAGGGGGUGAUGUCAUGCAGGACCUGGCACAACAUGUAAUGAAAAUCUACAGUACCAGUCAAAAUUUGGACACACCUAGUCAUUCCAGGGUUUUUCUACUUAAAUGUUUUUUACUAUUUACUAUUUUUUUUAUAAUAGUGAAGACAUCAAAACUAUGAAAUAACACAUAUGGAAUCAUGUAGUAACUAAAAAAGUAAAAAUAAAAAUACAUUUUAGAUUCUUCAAUGUAGCCACCCUUUGCCUUGAUGACAGCUUUGCACACUCUUGGCAUUCUCUCAACCAGCAUCAUGAGGUAGUCACAUGGAAUGCAUUUCAAUUAACAGUUGUGCCUUGUUAAAAGUUAAUUGGUGAAUUUCUUUCCUCCUUAAUGUGUUCGAGACAAUCAGCUGUGUUGUGAUAAGGUAGGGGUGGUAUACAGAAGAUAGCACUAUUUGG